rnacentral:tRNA from 1 species
GAGGGUGUAGCUCAGUGGUAGAGCGUGCGCUUGGCUUGCGUGAGGUCCUGGGCUCAGUCCCCAGUCCCUCCA